rnacentral:rRNA from 1 species
UACGUAGGGUGCAAGCGUUGUCCGGAAUUAUUGGGCGUAAAGAGCUCGUAGGCGGUUUGUCGCGUCUGCCGUGAAGUCCGGGCUCAACUCCGGAUCUGCGGUGGGUACGGGCAGACUAGAGUGAUGUAGGGGAGACUGGAAUUCCUGGUGUAGCGGUGAAAUGCGCAGAUAUCAGGAGGAACACCGAUGGCGAAGGCAGGUCUCUGGGCAUUAACUGACGCUGAGGAGCGAAAGCAUGGGGAGCGAACAGG